AAAUGGCAACCCAUUGCAGUAUGCAUACCUGGAAAAUUCAAUGGAUGGAGGAGCCUCGUAGGCCACAGUUCAUGGGGUUGCAGAGUUGGACACGGCUGAGCAACUUCACUUUCACUUUCAUUGUACCUUGUAUUUCUACCCCUAAGGAAGAAGCAGAAAGAUUGAGCUUCUCCAUGGAACAAACUAAAGCUAGUCUUCAGACAAGACUACAUUCUUGCUUGAUUAUUUUCUCCACCUUAUCUAGCUUCACUCACCAUCCCCCUCCCCUUUAUCCUAAGAAUGCUUCUUCAAAUAAAUAUUUUUAACAAGGA